rnacentral:rRNA from 1 species
GUAGGUGGCAAGCGUUGUCCGGAAUUAUUGGGCGUAAAGCGCGCGCAGGCGGUCCUUUAAGUCUGAUGUGAAAGCCCACGGCUCAACCGUGGAGGGUCAUUGGAAACUGGGGGACUUGAGUACAGAAGAGGAAAGCGGAAUUCCAAGUGUAGCGGUGAAAUGCGUAGAGAUUUGGAGGAACACCAGUGGCGAAGGCGGCUUUCUGGUCUGUAGCUGACGCUGAGGCGCGAAGGCGUGGGGAGCAAACAGGGAUUAGAUACCCUGGUAGUCCACGCCGUAAACGAUGAGUGCUAAGUGUUAGGGGGUUUCCCGCCCCUUAGUGCUGCAGCUAACGCAUUAAGCACUCCGCCUGGGGAGUACGGCCGCAAGGCUG